rnacentral:rRNA from 1 species
CCUUACGUCCGGGGCUACACACGUGUUACAAUGGGGGGUACAGAAGGCAGCUAGCGGGUGACCGUAUGCUAAUCCCAAAAGCCUCUCUCAGUUCGGAUCGAAGUCUGCAACCCGACUUCGUGAAGCUGGAUUCGCUAGUAAUCGCGCAUCAGCCACGGCGCGGUGAAUACGUUCCCGGGCCUUGUACACACCGCCCGUCAAGCCAUGGGAGCCGGGGGUACCUGAAGUACGUAACCGCAAGGAUCGUCCUAGGGUAAAACUGGUGACUGGGGCUAAGUCGUAACAAGGUAGCCGUACCGGAAGGUGCGGCUGGAACACC